ACAGGUGGGCUCGGGCCCUCGAGGCCCUGGAAAUCUUGAAAGACAGGCAGUGGGGGCAGAGUUAGGUGGGUCGACUUUGAACUUGACAAUACCAGCAGACCCCUUAUUUUCCAGAUAAAGGGCUAUGGAGCCUGCCUGGGGAUGAGGCCUGGUCUAAUGGAAAGUGGACUUAGCUUCGCUGGGCCGACAGCUCUGGCCCCGGGUGAUGGCAGUGUUUCCCCUCUGGAGUCUUUCCCCUAGGUUCCGUGGUUCCCUCUUCUGUGAUCUCACUCCUCCCCUACUGUUCCCCCUAACUGAGGUUAAGGACUCAACUAAAACCUUGCCUCUGGGUCCCCUGAGCCUGGAGAAGUGUUGUUCACCCAUGGCGAGCAGAUGGCACCGGGAGGAAUGGAGCCCCCGCCAGUGUGUGUCGUAGCAGUGCAGGAGGGCAGACCUUGGAGGAGACAGCGGCCUAAGUUGAUGCCCUCUACACAGUGAAUUUCCAGAGGCCUCACUCAGAAGGCCCCGUGUGUU